rnacentral:tRNA from 1 species
UCCCUGGCGAUCUGGUGGUUAAGAUUCUGUGCUUUCACUGCCGAGGGCCUGGGUUCAAUUCCUAGCUGGGGAA